ensembl:snoRNA SNORA70 Small nucleolar RNA SNORA70
CUGCCUCUAAUUUAGCUGGCCCUGAUGCCCUCAUCUUGGCAUCUGGUCUGCAGUGGCUACAAACAGCAGCCUCCUGGAUAGUGUGUGCGGCCUAUUGCUUGUACAGGCUGCCCAAAGGGACUCUGGUGACAGCC